AUACUUACCUGGGAGGGGAAAUACCAUAAUUGUGGAGAUGGUUUUCCCAGGGUGAGGCUCAUCCAUUGCACUGUGGGUGUGCUGACCUCUGUGAUUUCCCCAAAUGCUGGAAACUCGACUGCAUAAUUUGUGGUAGUGGGAGACUGCGUCCUAGCUGUCUCCUG
rnacentral:snRNA from 1 species